rnacentral:rRNA from 1 species
AUUGAACGCUGGCGGCAGGCCUAACACAUGCAAGUCGAGCGAGCGGCGGCCGGGUGAGUAAUGUAUGGGGACUGCCCGUUAGAGGGGGAUAACUACUGGAAACGGUGGCUAAUACCGCAUACUAUUGGAUUUUCCAUGUGGGAUUAGCUAGUAGGUGGGGUAAAGGCUCACCUAGGCGACGAACUCUAGCUGGUCUGAGAGGGUGAUCAGCCACACUGGUGCUGAGACACGGCCCAGACCCCUACGGAGGCAGCAGAGGGGAAUAUGGCACAAUGGACGCAACCCUGAUGCAGCCAUGCCGCGUGUAUGAAGAAGGCCUUAGGGUUUGAAAGUACUUUCAGCGGGGAGGCGUUACCCGCAGAAGAAGCGCCGGCUAACUCCGUGCCAGCAGCCGCGGUAAUAC